GGUCAAGGGAGAAAGAGCAUAGGGUGGAUGCCUUGGCAUCAGCGGCCGAAGAAGGGCGCGGCAAGACUGCGAAAAGCCUCAGUGAGCUGUCUAGCUAGCUUAGCUGGGGAUUCCCGAAUGGGGCAACCCGCUUGGGGUGAACCCCAAGCACUCGCUAUAAAAGCGAGAGGGAACCGGGUGAACUGAAACAUCUUAGUAACCCGAGGAAAAGAAAUCAACCGAGAUUCCCCGAGUAGUGGCGAGCGAAAGGGGAGGAGCCCAAACCGGGGUAGCUAAGUGGGCUUGGAACCUAAGCUACUCUGGAGUUGCAGGACACGGGGGGCAGAGUCCAAGAUCUGCCACGGAGUUACAAAACUUUUCCUUAGUCGAAUGUCCCUGGAACGGGCAACCGCAGAAGGUGACAGUCCUGUAGGCGAAAAGGAAAAGUCUCCGCCCGUGCUCCUGAGUACCAUGGGACACGUGGAAUCCUGUGGGAAGCUGGGGGGACCAUUCCUCCAAGGCUAAAUACCUGCUGAUGACCGAUAGUGAACCAGUACCGUGAGGGAAAGGUGAAAAGAACCCCGGUGAGGGGAGUGAAAUAGAACCUGAAGCCCUAUGCUUACAAGCAGUCAGAGCCUCGAGGUUUCUCGGGGGGAUGGCGUGCCUAUUGAAGAAUGAGCCGACGAGUUGAUCUAUGUGGCUAGGUUAAGCAACUUUAGUUGCGGAGCCGUAGCGAAAGCGAGUCCGAAUAGGGCGCAGCUCAAGGCAACUUGAGCAGGUCGCAUAGAUCAGACCCGAAACCGGGUGAUCUACCCAUGGCCAGAGUGAAACUCAAGUAACAUUGAGUGGAGGCUCGAACUUGUGAGCGUGGCAAAGCUCUAAGAUGAGCUGUGGGUAGUGCAGGUGAAAUGCCAAACGAACCCGGAGAUAGCUGGUUCUCCCCGAAAUGCAUUUAGGUGCAGCCUCAGGAAGUAGCUUACGGAGGUAGAGCUCUGGAUGAGCCAGGGACCGUGAGGUUACCGACCUCAACCAAACUGCGAAUGCCGUAAGUGGAAUCCUGGGAGUGAGACCGUGGGGGCUAAGCUCCAUGGUCGAGAGGGGAUCAGCCCAGACCAUCAGCUAAGGUCCCUAAACGCAGGCUAAGUGGGAAAGGAAGUAGUGCUGCAGAAACAACCAGGAGGUUGGCUUAGAAGCAGCCAUCCUUUAAAGAGUGCGUAACAGCUCACUGGUCGAGUGGCACUGCACCGAUAAUGUAACGGGGCUUAAGUCUGCUACCGAAGCUAUGGUAUGGUCGGUUUACGACCAUAGGUAGGGGAGCGUUGCUAUGGCGGUGAAGCUAUGGCGUAAGCCAUGGUGGAGCAGUAGCAAGUGAGAAUGUCGGUACGAGUAGCGCAAAGGCGUGUGAAAAUCACGCCCACCGCAAGCCUAAGGUUUCCUACGCAACGUUUAUCGGCGUAGGGUUAGUCAAGGCCUAAGCCGAACCCUAAUGGGGUAGGCGAUGGACAGUAGGUUAAUAUUCCUACACCACUCAGUUUUCGUCUGAGGCAAAGGGGGGACACAGGAAGGUAGACUGAGCAUGCCCAGCGGACAUGGCGUGUUUCCGAACCCGAGGUGUAUCAGGGCAGGCAAAUCCACCCUGAUAUCAAGCUGAGGGGAGGAAGAAUUCGAGGGGCAACCCGAGAAAACUCGGUCGAACCUACACUGGCGAGAAAAGCCUCGUUGCCGAGAAAACUGAGUGCUUGUACCGCAAACCGACACUGGUAGGCGGGGAUAAAGGUCCCAAGGUGUUCGAGACAACCCUCGUUAAGGAACUCGGCAAUCUGACCCCGUAACUUCGGGAGAAGGGGGCCCGCCUUGUAACAAGGCGGGGGCACAAAAUUGGCCCAGGCGACUGUUUAACAAAAACACAGGUCUCUGCUAAAGCGAAAAAGCUGAAGUAUAGAGGCUGAUACCUGCCCAGCGCCAGAAGGUUAAGGGGAGAGGUUAGGGUGGUCUACCACUCGAAGCCUUGAACCGAAGCCCUGGUAAGCGGCGGCCGUAACUAUAACGGUCCUAAGGUAGCGAAGUCCCUUGUCGGGUAAGUUCCGACCCGCACGAAAGGUGUAACGACCUGGGCGCUGUCUCAACGAGGGGCUCGGUGAAAAUGAACUGGGGGUGAAGAUGCCCUCUACCCGCGACAGGACAAAAAGACCCUAGCAGCUUUACUAUAGCCUGGCAUUGAACUUAGACUAAGCAUGUGUAGGAUAGGUGGGAGGCUGAGAAGCUGGGGCGUCAGCCUCAGUGGAGCCGACGGUGAAAUACCACCCUUGCUUAGUUUUGGUUCUAACCCGUGGCGGCCACGGGGACAGUGUCUGGUGGGUAGUUUGACUGGGGCGGUUGCCUCCUGAAGGGUAACGGAGGCGUCCAAAGGUUCCCUCAACACGGAUGGAAACCGUGUGUAGAGUGCAUUGGCAUAAGGGAGCUUGACUGUGAGACCUACAAGUCGAGCAGGGACGAAAGUCGGGCAAAGUGAUCCCACGGUACCGCAUGGAAGGGCCGUGGCUUAUCGGAUAAAAGCUACGCUAGGGAUAACAGGCUUAUCUUGCCCAAGAGUUCACAUCGACGGCAAGGUUUGGCACCUCGAUGUCGGCUCGUCGCAUCCUGGGGCUGGAGAAGGUCCCAAGGGUCGGGCUGUUCGCCCGUUAAAGCGGCACGUGAGUUGGGUUCAGACCGUCGUGAGACAGGUCGGUCUCUAUCCGUCGUGGGCGCCGGAGACUUGAGGGGGGCUCUCCCUAGUACGAGAGGAUUGGGAGGGACAGACCGCUGGUGUGCCAGUUGUCCCGCCAGGGGCAGCGCUGGGUAGCUAUGUCUGGUUGGGAUAAGCGCUGAAAGCAUCUAAGCGCGAAGCCCGCCCCAAGAUGAGGUCUCCCACCGGACUAACCGGGUAAGGCCGCAAGUAGACUACUUGCUUGAUAGGCGGCAAGUGUAAGCGGAGCAAUCCGUUGAGCUUAGCCGUACUAAUGGCCGAGGCCUUGACUUG
rnacentral:rRNA from 1 species